AUUGAACGCUGGCGGCAUGCUUUACACAUGCAAGUCGAACGGCAGCGCGGGCUUCGGCCUGGCGGCGAGUGGCGAACGGGUGAGUAAUGCAACGGAACGUGCCCAGUAGUGGGGGAUAGCCCGGCGAAAGCCGGAUUAAUACCGCAUACGACCUGAGGGUGAAAGCGGGGGACCGAAAGGCCUCGCGCUAUUGGAGCGGCCGAUGUCGGAUUAGCUAGUUGGUGGGGUAAAGGCUUACCAAGGCGACGAUCCGUAGCUGGUCUGAGAGGACGACCAGCCACACUGGGACUGAGACACGGCCCAGACUCCUACGGGAGGCAGCAGUGGGGAAUUUUGGACAAUGGGGGCAACCCUGAUCCAGCCAUGCCGCGUGCGGGAAGAAGGCCUUCGGGUUGUAAACCGCUUUUGUUCGGGAAGAAAUCCUCUGGGCUAAUACCCCGGGGGGAUGACGGUACCGGAAGAAUAAGCACCGGCUAACUACGUG
rnacentral:rRNA from 1 species